rnacentral:rRNA from 1 species
AUGAACGCUGGCGGCGUGCCUAAUACAUGCAAGUCGCGCGAACAGACGAGGAGCUUGCUCCUCUGACGUUAGCGGCGGACGGGUGAGUAACACGUGGAUAACCUACCUAUAAGACUGGGAUAACUUCGGGAAACCGGAGCUAAUACCGGAUAAUAUAUUGAACCGCAUGGUUCAAUAGUGAAAGACGGUUUUGCUGUCACUUAUAGAUGGAUCCGCGCCGCAUUAGCUAGUUGGUAAGGUAACGGCUUACCAAGGCAACGACGCGUAGCCGACCUGAGAGGGUGAUCGGCCACACUGGAACUGAGACACGGUCCAGACUCCUACGGGAGGCAGCAGUAGGGAAUCUUCCGCAAUGGGCGAAAGCCUGACGGAGCAACGCCGCGUGAGUGAUGAAGGUCUUCGGAUCGUAAAACUCUGUUAUUAGGGAAGAACAAAUGUGUAAGUAACUAUGCACGUCUUGACGGUACCUAAUCAGAAAGCCACGGCUAACUACGUG